ACCGGGCACGGUGGUGCACACCUGUAAUCCAGAGACUUGGGAGGCUGAGGCAGGAGGAUCACAAGUUCAAAGCCAGCCUCAGAAACUUAGUGAGGCCCUAAGUGGCUUUGUGAGACCCUGUCUCAC
rnacentral:sRNA from 1 species